GUGGAUCGACAGAAAUAUCUCCCUCCUCAACCCCUUUCUCUCCCUCGUCUCUUCCCAUCCCGCUCCUCUUCUCCAUGCCGCCGCCACCGCCGCUGCUUCUCCUCCCUCUCGGCCGCCUGUCUCCCCCGCCUCCAACACCUCCUCCUCUCUUUGCCUCCUCACCCAACCAGCACAGCCAGACCACGCGAUGUGGACGAGGAGGCAACAGAUCGGGAGGCGGGCAAGAGGAACCAGGCGGUUCUCCUUCCAUGGCCGGGCCUCGACCAGCCGCAUCUUCCUCCUCCCAGUCCGGCGGAGAGGAGUGGCGGAUCCGCCUCCUCAAGCGAGCAGGGGCGCACGGGGAUUCGAUCCAGGGAUCUCCUUGCGAGAGGCCGCCACCGUACCGACUCCAACCUGCAGCCUGUUCCAACUCAGAAAGUGACAGUUAUACAAGAAGAACCAGAUGCCACUGAAGAUGCCAACGUCCAAGUAAGCAUCGCGAACUGCCAUAAACAUCGCGAACCACUCGAGUAUCUUCAUUCCCUGUGUAGAACUGUUCAAGAAAAGCACCUGUAAAACCAACAGCGUGGAGGAGCCGGCUUCCCGUGUCAGAGUUGCGUGUACUUGCGGGCUACUUCACCGUCACCAGCCCAUCUGUAGUAUUGUAGGGAUGGACAUAUGGAUUGAGUGGUACCCACCUGAAAGAUACACAUCUCAGCAGCCAAGAACUUCAAUAAAAAUGUAUAUCCCAACUCCUUUUAUAAUCUUGAAUGCUUCUCGGUCAACGUCGGUGUCACUUCCAGUCUUGGAUGCUACCAGGAUGCCAGGUGCAAACUUCAUGGAGGCAUAAUGGCUCUGUACUAGCUUUUCUUGAUGAAUGAAAGCAGUGAUGCUGAUAUGAACUAUCUGAACAAUCCACAUUCAGUUUAAGUGAUGUUACUUUGCUUGAAAUUUUGAGAUUGAACUAUUAGCUUACUAUCAGGGAAGAGGUAUGAAAUUCUCAACUUAGGAAGGAACAUACAACCUGUAAUGUGUCGAUCACUAACUAAUAAACAGGAGUCUGAUGUUGGAAAGAAGCAACUGGUACCAACGCAAAAGCAUCACGACUCCCCUUACAAAUCAAUGAAGUGUUCUAAUUCUAAUUCUGGCGAUCUAAGCACCGGUCCAAGCGGCUCUCCCUCGGCUAUGCCUGGAUGUUCGAGCUGUCAGUGUGGUACAGGAGCAGCAGCCACCACCGCUGCCAAGUAGCUCCAGCAAUCACGUGCUCACUCUUUCUUCACAGACUAUGUAUGGUCAGUUCAGAAAAUUGGAGGUUUUAGGAUCUUUGGAAGUUUUUUGAGGCAUCACCCUUCUUGUCCGCAGUUAAAAGGGGUGUGUGUGAGUCUGAGAAAAAUACUUUUGCUUUACUUAUGUUUCAACUUUGGCAAGGCAUGUUUGUACAGGUAGUAAAAAUGUGAUGCAAAUGUUUCUUUUACUAAUUUGUGGAUUUUGAUAGUAGAAUGUUGUUUUGGGCUGGUGCUAAGGAUCAUUCAGUUUCAAGGAAAAAUAUAUAUGUGUGGUUUCUUUGCUUUACAGAAGAUGCAUUAUAUGAUGUUUUCAUUUUGGUAACCAUAAGAAAUUUUACAUUUGAUGGUGAAUUUCAAAAUUAUUUUGUUUGGAUUCUGAAUCAUGCUAGGCAAUGUUGUCUUUGUAAUAAUUUAAAAGGGGUGCUAGGCAGAACCAAGCCAUCCACGUAGGCUAUGAAUAGUGCAGCGAGCGAGCGAGUGAGCUGGCAGCGACUAAAAACCUAGCUUCCCCACCCACGCCCAUGACAGCACGCGACCGUCCCUCCUCCUCGACCUCCCUCCUAGCUGCCCCCUCCCCCUUUCUCCUCAAGAGAAAAGCCAUGAGUUGUUUUACUGAGAGAGAAGAAACAAGUAAUAUCACAUUCUGAAGGUUCAUUUUCUUUUAUAUGGGUGAUGGGUCCUUAAAAUUGUAAGCAUUGCAGUUUUCUAACCAUGUACAUGGGUGGUACGCAGCUAAGCACUCAAGCUAUGAUUAUUGUUGUAUGUAUGGAUUAAUAGUGGUAAUCACUGUUUGGUUCAGGCCUUGAGCAGCUAAGAUAACUCAAAUGUGUACGCUCAUUCAAAGUAACUGAUUUACCUAAAGAACUUGAUUGAUGAUCAGGUGUGCAUUUUGUAUGCAUUGGAAUUAGAUUCAGAAUGCAUGAUGAUUGGUUUCUUCUGUGUUCAUAUAGGAAGUAGCUUCUCAUGCGCCAACAUUUUUUAGGUGUGUUGUGCCGAGGAAAUCUUAUGCUUCAGUGCGUACAUUUCGGUUGUGUUUGUCUAGAGUUUUUUUUUUGCUUACAGGACAAAAUAUUCUUAUUUACUUUGGUUCAUCUAUUUGUAGCAAAAAACUAUUUCUUCGUGCGUAAAUAUGUUGUGUUCAUUAUUCGGGUCAAAUGAGUGAGACCGUCGUUUUUGUAUUGGCUUCAAGGGAGGAUGAUUUGCUGUGUACGUUUCAUUUUCCAUCAAGGCCAUCAUGUCGUCCACUCAUGUACAUGUCAUUCUCUGCUUUUAAACAUGUGUCGAGUGUAACCGCUAGCAUGUGUACGAAGACAAAUAAUUCUCAAGGCACUGGCAUGACUGGAGGAAAAGAGGUUCUGUGACUCAAGGUUGGGUCGCCAUGUGUAUAUUUAUUUAUGUAUUCAUAUCCAUGCUUGUGUGGUUUUCUCUAUUUUCGUAGCCAGUCACAUGCCUUCUCCUUAUUUGCUUUGUCAAUGUUCGUGUGUGCCCAACUCAAUUGUUGCUGCUUUUAUGUAUGUGCUUUCUUAUGUGGCAGAUAAACUCUUGCUUUAAUAUGUGCACUUCCAGGUUUGACGCAGUACAGUGCGGGGGAGGCGGUGUCCUCUGCAGCUAGGUCUACUUGCUGGCGACCUCACCAUCACCAACCCAUCUACAGCCUACUUGAAUGGAUAUGGUUCUUGAGAGGCCAUUUCUUAUGCAUCAGGCCCUGAAGGUGGAUGUUGCUUGUAUGCUAAACAAGGAAGAGGCAUGCCCUACCUGGCAGCGACCACCUUCCACUCAAGGGAUAUAGCACUAUCAUUUAGCACACACUGUUCCAGGAGAAACAAUAAUCAUGAACAGAAACAGUAACCAACAAUAUCCCUACUGACCGGCGCGGCUCCACCAACGAUCCAUCAGCCCCUGGUACAGAAAGA